CCUACGGGUGGCAGCAGUGAGGAAUAUUGGUCAAUGGGCGUAAGCCUGAACCAGCCAAGUCGCGUGAGGGAUGAAGGUUCUAUGGAUCGUAAACCUCUUUUAUAAGGGAAUAAAGUGUGGGACGUGUCCUGUUUUGUAUGUACCUUAUGAAUAAGGAUCGGCUAACUCCGUUCCAGCAGCCGCGGUAAUACGGAGGAUACGAGCGUUAUCCGGAUUUAUUGGGUUUAAGGGGUGCGUAGGCGGCCUUUUAAGACAGCGGUGAAAGUCUGUGGCUCAACCAUAGAAUUGCCGUUGAAACUGGGAGGCUUGAGUAUGUGUGAGGCAGGCGGAAUGCGUGGUGUAGCGGUGAAAUGCUUAGAUAUCACGCAGAACCCCGAUUGCGAAGGCAGCCUGCCAAGCCAUGACUGACGCUGAUGCACGAAAGCGUGGGGAUCAAACAGGAUUAGAUACCCGGGUAGUC
rnacentral:rRNA from 1 species